CCAUCGGCCCUUUUCAGGGCCAUCAAAAAAAGAAUGGAAAAGAGUU
rfam:Aedes aegypti strain Liverpool supercont1.409 genomic scaffold, whole genome shotgun sequence.